GUGACUCUGAGGGAGCUCUUUUGGUGAUUUCAGAAGAGCACAUGUGCUCCCAUGAGCACCCUGGGGUGGCACAGAUGAGACACGGCUGAGGGGAAUCCCAUUAAUGUUCUUCCUGGACGGUGUUUUCCUUCUCUCUCGGCCGUUCCCGAAGCAGCAACGUGGUCAACUCGUAGCGGAGUCACUCCGAAAGCGCCCUGGGAGAAAACUGUUCUGAGCUACAGGAAAUUAAAAAAUUCCUGCAAUACCGA
rnacentral:lncRNA from 1 species